GUUGCAGAGAGUUGUGACAUGUCUGUGUAGCAAUGGAGAGGAAAAAGGAAAAUUCCCCUCGACUUGGGGAAAAAAGCAACAACGCAUCCUCUCCUUUAAUUACCAUGCGGUAAAAUAAAAUAAAAAUUUGGACACUAGAAUUUCACUGAUUAGUGCAUGUCCCGGGGGUUUAGUUCUCACUCAGGACUUAUGUAAAGCGUCUUAAAACGACCUGAAUUGUUACUGAAACCAGAUUACCAAAAGUGAAUAGUAAUAUUUAAUGAAAUUUGAAUUUUUUGAAAACCCUAAGAAAAAACUGAACGCCCUCGGGUGUAACACAGGACCUUGGCAAAGUCAUUACAUAAGUGGUGAAUUUUGUGGUGGCCUGUGGUAACCAAACCUCCGCUGUCUCCAUUGACAUCACUACUAUCACGGAAACCAGAGAUUUUUCACUUUUUCUGAGGGUAAAAAAUGGUCAACGCGGUGACCUUUAGGUUUUAGUAAGAGAAUAAGAAUUUCUGGUCAGUAUAUGUACACAGUGACAUCACUCGGGGGCGUCAACCCACACAGUGACAAAUCGGCCUGUUCGAAAAGAGCUACUGUGAAGCCAAGUAUUCGAUUCAUUUAGUCUUUGUGCAAUUGUGGAAAAAGACAAAAUUUAAACAAUAUUGAAUUUUAUUUGAAAUGGAUUUUUAAUAUAUAUAUAUAUACACAUCUAUAUUCUUUUAAUGAAUCUGUCAAAGUGUCCAUUUAUUAUCAAAUAAUUCAGCAGACAUCCAAUCAAUAAAAUACUACAAUGACUUCAGAUGCUGGAAAGAAACUAACAAUUCUGCAGUUCCUCAACCACCAUCGCCAUCCACAUUCCAUUUUCGUUAUUCAGUUUCACAAGAAAACGUGUGACUAGGUUUACAACAUGUGCGGUAUCGCUGUCAAAAACCAGUGUGAAAGUUUGGCCCAGUUCACAGUACAGAAGUAAAUGGUUCGUUAUUAAUCACUUAUUACUUCGUUACAAAAAAAAGGAAGAAAGCACUGGUUUCAUUUUCAAAAAACAUUAAAUUUAAAAGUUAUUAGAAAUUAAAAAAAAAACAAAAAACUACUCAGGUGUGGGUGAAGCGCGUAGGUUAAAUGACUAAAAGUUUGGUCAUAAUUUGAACUUCAUCACGUUUGUGUGGCACAAAUGGCCCAAUUUUGUGUUGAACUUUGGAAAGUCCAGUGGACAAAUGAAGUUAAGAAAAAAAAACAUUUGUGGUUGCAACGAAUGAAUGGACUGAUCAUACUUCAGAUAUGAAACCAGUGGCAUCAACCGCAUCCUAUACCUUCUUGCAUCAACAAAAGUCCGUGGAUGGAUCUCAGUAGAGCAGAGAAUGCAAGUAUCGCACACGACGAGAGGACGUCGCACAAAGAUUUUUUUAAUUUCUUAAAUCUUUUAAUUGUUUAAUCCGAGCUCGUGCUACAGACAUUUUAAAAUCCCAGAGUUUUAAAGCAUGCUGCAUUACACAUUUCAGAAGAAACUUCACAGAUUUUAUGGUUUCUAAUCAAAAUAUAUCCUGCACUCUUGGUUUCUAUAAGAUUAUCACCAGGGAGAACUGAAUACACCGUGAAUGUAAACUAAACAGAGGUUGCUCUGCAAAACCUUGCUUUAAAUCCAUGGUUCCGCACUCUGGUCAGAUACAGGCGAUUUAUAGUUGCACUACACUUUGUUAUAUCACGGCACAGGGUCCAGCAUAUGUACGGUGUAGCUCCAGACUUUGUGUCGUAACCUGACACGCACCUCCCAAGAAAUAUAACUGGCAUAAGUUUGUUCAGGCUUCAACACACCGUCUACUGAGACAUCUUCUCUAGGGUCUGUGCUGCAGAGAUGUCACUGAAAGUAGCCGUUGAUCCACAUUUACUGAACUCCAAAAAAAAAAAAAAUGAACUGCAGAGCAAUGGCGACACACUAGAUUGCAGGUAGUAAGGCUUUCAACGCCAUAACCCUCUUUGGCGUAGGCUCAGUGCGACAUUGAUGCGGCUGCAAGUGUCUUCGUCAAGCGUCCAUCGAUCCGAACAAGAAGAUGCAGCGACAAGAGAAAAAGUUGAUGAAACUUUGUAAUACUUUGCAGUGAGACAAAACAAAGCACAGAGUGCACGGCCUUGUAGCCUGGUCUAUCUCAGCGGUGAUUAGCAACGUACACGUCAAUCAUUUCCGAUAUUAAGCGGGGCAGCAGUCUGGGAUAUUUAAAAACCGAUCUGUGGAAUUCUUACUCAAUUCUUAGCCAACUCUCUUCAUUUGCAUCUUUCCACUUGAUAAAAGGUACAAUACAAAAUUACAAAACUAUUGGAAAAGUGUAGGAGGAGCCGUAGGGCACUGUAGUCAUCUUGGCAAGUGCGUACUUUCUUAGAGGCCUCGAGCAGGCGCGGAUUUACAAGCGAUUUGUGAUCAGCCGUUACGAAAUUCAGUCACUAUCUGUGCUUUGCCAAAAAAGGAACGUAUGCCUCACUACUCACUCUUCACAAAAUAUUCGGAGAAAAUUUAAAUAAACAGUAGUACGUAGGUAAGUAAGGUUACUAGGAAAGUAAGAUGACGUGUCAGAGAUUUUAAGGUUGAAUGAUACUUAGUAUUGGUACGGUAGAAAUUGUUGUGUGGAACAUGCUACAACUGUUGGGUUUUGUGGUUGUAAACAUCAAACAAGCAGGAUACUACUGCAAAAAAUGCAGGAAAUUGGCAAAAAAAAAAAAUAAAUAAAUACAAAAAAACGAAUUGAACUUUCACAGUUCAGCAACAAGUAAACUUGGGUUCACUUUGAGAUCCUAAUCAUCAGAAAUAAUAUGAGAGGACAUUUCAAAAUAAGCAAAAUGCAUAUUAAUAUCAAAAGAUAAAAUUUAGUGUGGGCCAGGACUUCACAGAAAGACACGGAAACAACAGGGUUGCCCCCACCAUGCAACAAACACCAUUGAUAGAAAUUUCCCCACCCUCUGCAAUCACGUCAAAAUCCUUACAGUGCUUCCGUCACAGUGACUAUUUUUAUCUGACUCCUGAAGAAACCUCAAAAUUGAAACCUAGCCAGGGAGGCCUUCUAGAGUGAGCAACACACUCUGACGACAGUGUCCAAUUUGACAAGUUGACACGAGCAGAGGUUCACAGCCUUGUUUAACUGUGAUACCUGGGAUUGUUACGGGGAAUCCCCAGAACGUGGCGUGGGCGUCAGAGAAACCCUUCAUGCUUUUUGCUGAGUGUAUGACACAACACGUAAUACAUCAGUCGUAACACAUUUUCUACAUCUGCUUGCAGCUUGUCAUGCCCCAGUUCAGUUAUAUCUAAAACAAAACAAAAACAACAAAAAAAUAAAUAAAUAAAAUUCAGUCCUCAUUGCUGUAUUUCAAAUUUCUACUUAUUUCGACUUUGAUUUGCAACUUUUCUAUCAGGGCAUCAGAUUGGGCCCUUUCGUUUCUGGCAUUUUUUUUUUUUUUUUUUUUUACAGGUUUUAUGUUUUUCCUUCCUGCUGCUGUUAGGCUCAGCAAUGAACAUUGUAUGUGCAAUACUUCACACCUCAAGGUUCAACACCUUCACUAUUCACUACUUACUACACGCUCUGUACGACUCCGUGCAAUAUCCAGCAAUCGUCGUCUCACGUGCAAAUCAAUACCGUUUGUUUAUAUGCCAUAUAAGGUUUUUUUUUUUUUUUUUUGCGUUCUAUUUUUUUUGCUGUGCACAGUGCACGAGUUCUCCGAGUACUCCAGUUUCCUCCCACGCUCCAAAGACACGCUCGUUAGGUUAAGGCCGGAGACCUGUCCAUGAUCCAGCGGACAAGCGGCAGCAGAAGAUGAGACGAGAUUUAUCUUUUAUACAGUCCACUUAUUUUUCUCCCCCUCUGUGCGUACGAGUGUGUGUCGCGACUGCCACUUUUUCAAGCGCGUUUGUGUCAAACAGCGCAACAAACAAAAACCAAAGGCAAAAGACAUGAAUGUUGCAGAGAGGUUUGUGGUCUUGAAAACCAGCUGCUUGUCAGAUUGAACGAAAAGAAAUACCAACAAAUUUCUCUGAAGAGAGGAAAAUCAAACCACACGUCUCACCAUUACGUUCACCGUGUCAGUAGAGCACUGAAGCAAAUACCAAUAAAACAACAAAUCUCUCAUAAUACGGAUAAAAGACACACAAAAAAAAAACACUUUUCAAAAGAAACUAUUUUUAGCGACUGCAAUCGAAAUGGCUCUGUGCCCACCUCGUCUUAACUUUGGGUUUUUACCCUGCAGGCGAUGAGGAAAGGCAGCAUGAUUAAUAGGAAAAUGUUGAUGUUCCAACAAGAACAUACCUUUUACGCGCCCACUCAUUUUGGUUUGGGUCUUCCUAUAAAGCCAGGCAGCACCAGUGGCCAUCACAAUCAACUGACAGAAUCUUCACAGGCAACUGCAGCUGAGCUUUUGGAACGAUUAACAUGGAGCAGUGUCUAAGAAUUGCCCUCGGGAUGGUUUUUCUCCUUGUAUGCCUUCAAGCAGCUCCUCUGGAAACCAGCAGCAUCACCAUCGAAAACCUGUUCUUAGGUCGUGUAAGACAGGAGGUCACUUGUGUAAGUACAAAACAGCGUAACAAACAGGAAAAUGUUUAAAUUGAAUGUGAAUACUAACAUGCUCUUUUAUCAUUUGUUGUAGGAUUCGAACGCAACUUUCUCGACUCCAACCAACGUGCAGGUAAGACAUCACCGCAGAUCAGGCUCUAAUAUGUAUUGCUUACUUAGUGCAGCAUUUAAGAAUAUCUCCUCAAUUUGAUUUUUUUUUGUUAGUUUGUUUUUUUUGGGAGGGAGGGAGCUGGCUUACUUUUAAUGGCAAUAGUGAUGUCAACCACUAGAGGGGGCAAUGAGUUUAUUUAAAAGCAAGUUUAAUUGCUUAAAAAAACAGAUAUUUGAGCUUGAUUAAGAGAAAGAAUGGAUUCCCAGUUACACUAGCAAUGGUACACGCAGAGUGUGGAGCUUUGCUGCCAUUAGUAGAGAAUUCAUAUGAACUGAAGUAUGUGUCACUCAGUGCUGUUGUAUCUUUCACAGCCACAAUGCAAUGCUGCUGCUCUGAAGACCAUCAAGGACGAACUGGAACGUGCCAAAAAACAGUGCAACAACACAGGCCGAAUUGACCAGACACUGGAUGCUUUGGAUGAAUAUAAAGACGUCACAGGACCGGUAGGUAUUACAGUGCCUUAAAAAAUAUUUAGAAUUAGUGCAUGAUCGAUAAAUAUCUAAAUCUGACUUCUCCCCUCAUACGCAGACAACCUCCCCAGACUGUCAGUGGGACAACAAGGAGUUUAAACCUUUCGUGGACAGCAUCGAAAGCUUCGUCCAGACGCUCAACAGUGCUUCCAGCUAGACGACUCUCUGACGCAACAGAUGUUUCCUCUACUUUUAACACUGUUCAAUGUUACACACUGCACUAAAAUGUGAUGCUGCCUCGCUAAAGUUAACAGUUCAGAAACACUGUUAAGAAAGAAAAAAUCUCACAGUAUUUAUUUAUUUAUUUAUUUAUAAUGAAAGCGAUAUGCUAUAUUUAUACACGACGUGUUUUUUUGGCUAAUAAAAUGUGAUUACAAUACAUGACUUUUACCUUGACGUAUUCAUUUAUUUCUACAAAAUGGUCACUGAGAUGCUAUUAUGCUAUAACAUAUUUAAAAAAAAAUAUCAUGCAAAUUAUAUGCCGUAUUAUACAAAAGAUGUGAAAAGAAAUACAAACAUCCACUAAAAAAACAAUGUCGAAGAGAAUGUCCUUUCUAAAAAAGAAAAGGAAAAAAAAAACGAAAAAAUGAAGUAUGCGGUUCUUAAAGUGGCGAAACCAUUCGAUGGGAUGUGGUGCUCUCCGCUCUGGAAACAUAUUUCCAUUAAGCACUUUUCCUUUAAUUUACCACACAUUUAAAAUAGCCGUUAAAUGUGUUAAGAUAAAGGAACCAUCAUUAGAGCGCGUAUGAAAAUAGUCUCACACUUUCUGCAGGGAACAGUCAGUUAUCAUGUCUCCCCAUGAAUAUCAGGUGCCACAAGGUUGCAUCAGUUCACACUUUUUACUGAAGACCAAAGCGUGACUCAUCACAGCAUAUUCGAAGCCUCGUGAAUUUCACACUAGCUCAAGUUUAGGUGGAAAUUUUAACUCAUGAUGGUGACAAAUCCUACUGACAAGAAAAGAUUGUCACAAAGUGGCUAAUAAUGUGUGAAUAUCGAACGAGAGCAAUAAGAUUCUCACCCUCUAAUCCUAAAUUAGAAAACAAGUGAACAUGCCGGCAACACCGCAAAAUGGGAGGAAGACUUUUGGGGAAAGACUGACGACUAAAAUAACUUGCGGCAAUGACUAAAACAUCCUGAAACACCGGGUGGGCGGAGCACAUGAAAUAACCGAUGAACCGAUCAAUCACGCUUUUGUUUGAAUAUUUAUUUUAACCUUCAGGAUGUACAGUACAACAUAAAACUUAGAAAUAUACAGCGUUCAACGUAUUCUGUUUUGUGGGUUGAAAAUCAAGUUGGUAUUACUGAAUGACCAUCUCCUGCUACCGCCUCACCAAACGUCCACGUUGCACAAUUUACCAACUGGCCGUAUGACAAACUUUGUUUUCCACGAAAUAAGCAGAAGUAGUGGGAGUCUUCUUCUACUUUAUUUUAUGAAGCAGCUUUGACACUAGCCAUGUGGUUUUGGUUAUGUAAGUUAUAAAGAUUAGACUUGGCAGACGCCCAAUACCAUUCAUUUUAAAAAUACCUAGAUCGACCUCGAUAUCGAUCUCCAUCAUAUACAGUGUACAUAUCAUAACUUUGUCUAUACAUACAUACCAACCCUAGGACCAUACCCACCUACAGCUAUAACUGCCAACCUAUGUCCAUACCUACGUCCUUGAAGAUCUACUAAACUACCACCUACUUAUACACUGUCUGGUCAAAUAAGGCAAGAAGCUUCUGCAGUGUCACAAGGUUCAUUUCCAUCGAGUGUCCAGUACAUUCAUUUUUGACCAACACCUUGUAUGGAUGAUGGGAGAGUCUGACACAUCCCAAAGAUUCUCGAUGGGAUUCGUAUCUGGACUCUGUGGUGGCCAAUCCGUGUGUAAAAAUCACGUCUCAUGCUCCCUGAACCACUCUUUCACGAUUUGAGUCCAACGAAUCCGGACAUUGUCGUCUAUCAAAAUCCACUGAUGGCAUAACCGGGUCAUUCAGCUGAUUCAGGCAGUCAGCCGACCUCAUUCUUUGGGCAUGAUGUUACUGAACCUGGACCUGAGCAACUGCAGCAUCCCCAGAUCACAGCACUGCCCCCUACAGGCUGGUACAGUAGACAUUAGGCAUGAUGGGUUAAUGCCUUCAUCUCACAGUCGUCACAAUGGUUCCCCACUAUCCUCACAGGUUUUAAUAACGCAGCGCUGGACAAUUCUUAACCCAAUUUUAGUAGUUUCUGCUUCAAUCGCCUUAAAUGUACUACCUGCUUGAUCACCUUUUCCAUUAUAUAAACAUAUUGGGGCUGUCGGAAGUUAUUUAAUUGCAUGCCUUCACUGGUGAACAGAAACUACUGUCCCACUGUUGAAGCCUCUUUUAAAUGUGUGUGGAGAUGAGAUGUUUAAGUUUGUGUUACUCUUAUCAACAUCUACCUCAAUUCACAUCAGCAGCAAAUUAUUUAUUUAUUAUUAUUGCUUUCCGCUGCAUAACUGCUUCUUUGAUUUCCAAAACUAGAGUCGGGACUAAGUCUUAAAUGACAGAAUGUGCAUGUGUGCCAUUUGUGGCAUUUGUGCCCUUUUGAGUUCCUGUAUAUGUGUAAGUAUUAACUUUGACAGUCUCAAUACACAUGCAAAAAAAAAAUUGCAUAUACAAAUAUAUAAUCCAGUAUAAGUAUACACACACACACACAGCAUUGUACUAUAUAUUCUUGUCAAAAAGAAAAGUUGUAAAGGAAAGUAAAUUGUGUCAGUUUGCUAAACAGAGUUCAAAGAGCAAACAGAGAAAGCAUGACAGAAAAAAAGUGUAUGAACCACAAAUGAGGGAGGGACAACCUAGUUUCGUAACAGCUUGAAGUCAGUCGCUGCGCUGCCAUAGGCCAAUCGAGGGAUUUUACCAUGCUGUAGUAGAAGGUUGAAAAAAAAAAAAUUCCAACAGUCAUCUAAAGGAAAAACAAUGCUGUAUGCAUUAGGCGAUAUACAACUAAUUCAGCCCACCCUUUCCAUCCCCACGGCUAUAUAAAUCAAAUACAGCACACAGGGUAAGUAAACCAAUACAACACUUUCACCAAACAACUUGCCUAUCACACCGACGGUCCUUUAAGCUGAACAUGGAGCACUUAACAAGGAUUGCCUUUUGGAUUGCCUCUGUUUGCCUUAUAAAACUCGUCUUCAGUGUUCCGGUUCCCGGUUAUCACAUCGCCGAUUUCCCCAUCGGACUUAUGAGAAAAGAAAUCAAAUGCGUGAGUAAUUUUAAGCUAUAUAUUUUAUUUUCGUUUUUCGUGCCGAAUUCGACCUGUUGCUAAUAAUAGCCCCUUAUCUUCUUCUCUCAACACAGGAUAACGAGUCAGUGUUCUAUGCUCCCGAAAAUGUGGAGACGAAAUGCCUCAUACCAGCAAUGAGAUGCAUCGCGAAAGAAAUAAAUGUACUGGUCAAAGCAGAAUGCGACGGCGACAAGGGCCUCAUCGGUCAGACUCUUGACGCCUUUGAGGUGCACUUCAAUGUGAAAACCAACAGCACUGAAACGCCAGGAUGUGACUGCGAGCUAUGGCCUGAAACUUCGUUCAGUGAGUUUCUCAGCAGAACUGAAUCUAUAAUACAGCAAGUUUAUUCUGAAAAACUGACAGCCUGAGCUGCGCGUCUGAAGCGGCAAACGCACAACUAAAGGUCAUGACAUGACAGACCGUUGAUUGUAUUUUUCAAGAAUGUAUGCAAAUAUUUCUUUUACUGCAUGUAAUCAAAGUGUUGAGGGGCACAACCCUUUAACUGAUGCUACGUUUUGAAUGCUGCUCUAUAAUAGUUGCAUUUAUAACCAUGUCUCUGCAAUAUGGAUAUAAGACAACUUGUAUGUUUUCCACAUGCAUAAUAUAAAGUUAGAAUAAUUAUAAUCUUAUAAUAUAUGUAUGUAUGUCUAUGUAUUUAUUUAUAUGAUUUCUACAUGAAUCUAAUGUGAAGUUCUCAGCCUAUUCCCAACAAUGAGAAUGUAUUGCGUGUAAACUCCUUUGAAUGUAUAUUUAUGUAUUUAUUGGUAUUUAUGUUUUAAUUUAUGGUGUACGCUGGUGCUCUAAAACUGAAGGCAUGAUGGAAUAAAUUUUAUCGUCCUAA